rnacentral:lncRNA from 1 species
CAGUGAGGGUCGCCGCGGCGGCGCGCAGCACGGCGGGAACAUGGCGCGCGGAACCGGCGCACGCGCCUAGCUGGUGGGACCGUUAGCUCGAGGCGGACGCGGCCCGGACCCCGUGGAUAUGGAGCAGUGGCCGCCGCCGGCGCCCGAGCCGGCCCAAGGGCCGACCCCCGCAAGGAGCUGAAGGCGGCGGGAGACCGAGUCGGCGCCGUCAAAGAAGAUGGCCACGGAGACAGCAGCGUGGUCAGAGUGGUAGGAGCCGGCCAUCAGCGAGAGCUGCUCCAUGCCUGGCUGCUGGGUGCUACAGCCUGUGGCCCACUGGCUUGCCUCACUGUGGUUGGUGGUGGCGGUGACAGAGACUGCAGCACGACCAAAGUGGCUUUUCUGGCUUUGCCCGCCCAGCUGCUCCAUGCCAGGAGGAGGAGGAGACACCUAGAGCCUGCGACACCACGGCUCGCCUCGCUGCGGGAGGGUGGCAUCAACGGAGACUGCAGUGCACCAGAGUGUUCUAGAGUGUAUGAAGAACCAAAUGAUGUAAUUGUAUGCGACCUGGCUGUAGUGGAACAAAUUUGACUCUAAAGUAUGCAGGCUCUAAUUUUCCUGUCUGGUUUUGCCCCCACAUCACCCAACCAACCAGCAGAGAUCCUCCUUCCCAAGAAACAGAUAAAGAAACUGAGGCCCAGGAAGGCUAAGAGUCCUGCCAGGAUUAUUCACCUUUCAAGCAGCCAAGCAAGCACUGGCUGUGAGAGAUGGCUGUGAGAGAAGAUUAAAACAAUUACAACUCACCCAGUUCACAGAUGCUGAGUAACUGAUCUCCUGCCCCACUAACCUUAACGACAGCUUUCUCUGGACAAGGGACUGAUUUCAGUAACUUUCUCCUGAUAAGAGACCAUCCUCCAUGGACUGGUUCUGGCCAGUUUUAGAGGCUGUGCCUUUACGAGGCUGAGUACCUUCAUGUCCCUGCUUCACUUUUUGAUGUGUAGGGCCUAAUUAUAAUACAUUUAAAUGUCAAGUCUCCACCCCAGAAUGAACAUGCAUGUUUAUUGAAUAUGCAUGUGUUAGGACCUCUUUUAUGAGUAUUCUCAUAAAAUGAUAUAGCUCCUCUGAUAUCCUAUUGAGUAUGUAUAUGUAGCCAACUCAUUUGGCUCAAAUUCCUGUCCUCUCCCUCCCUCCCUGGAAAUGCCUGCCUCUGGCCUUGGCUGUAGGCCACACUUCCCAGCCUGUCAUAAUGGCCACCUUGCAGACUGCAAACCUUUAUAAGAAAUAAAGCUCUCUUUUCUAAAUUUAUAAAAUUGUGUGAUUUUUCAGUUGAUGC